AUGAAGAUAAAGCUCUGAUGUGUGUUGAGUUUAUUUCCAUAGACAAACACUUUGCAUUAUCAUCACAUGCUUCAGUGCUCUGAGUCUUUAUAACUGUCUGACACAAACAUUUUAUAACACAACAUCAUUACAAAACACACAAACACAAAUGAAUUUCUUCAUCGUCUUCAUUUGGAUUCUGGGAGUUUUUAUUCCAGAAUCCAGAGGAGUUACUGUAACUCAGAGUAAAACUCAAUCUGUUUCUGUUGGACAAACCGUCAAUAUAAAGUGUACAACUGAUACUGGAAUAGAUAGCUGGGGUUUAUCUUGGUAUCAGCAGAAACCUGGAGAAGCUCCUAAACUCAUCAUUACUAGUGUAAAUGAUCGUUAUAGUGGCAUUUCACAGAGAUUCAGUGGCAGUGGAGACGCUUAUGGUAAAGAUUUUACUCUGAGCAUCAGUGGAGUUCAGAUUGAAGAUGAAGGAGAUUAUUGCUGUAUGAGUGGACACAAGAUCAGUGGUAGCAUAGUGUUCACACAGUGA